AAGCAUAUGAUUGUUCCAAAGGAGCAAACAGCAACUCUUAGGAAAAAAAUCCAUACGAGACCAUGCCAGGUGAAGAUUCCUCGCAAGGCAAGAGUCAGGAAUAACGGCAUGUCAUAAAGGGUGACUGCAGGACUCCUCUGAGCUAGGAACGCCGAGAAGCACCUUUUCUAGAAGGUGCUGGACCCAGCAGCAGUUGGUAACACUUCCACUAUGGUAUCGCCAAUAAGUGCACGGAAAGCUGUGGAAGAGCGAGUUGCUGCAUUCUUUUUGAUUCUUCUUGCCCAGACAACG